rnacentral:rRNA from 1 species
AUGUUGGAUACGAUUUUUAUCCAAAUAUUAGCUUUCUUGUGGCGAAAGAAGGGCACCAACCGCCUUAUGGGGUGGCCACGAGGGCCCAAGGCGCGCCUGACCCCUUGGGGCAUGCCCCCUGCCUCGUGGCCCCCUCGGACAUCGUCUCACGUUGAUUCUUCUUCCCAAAAAUCACGUAUAUUCCAAAAAAAAUCUCUGUCAGUUUUUAUCCCAUUUGGACUCCGUUUGAUAUGGAUUUUUUGCGAAACAAAAAACAUGCAACAAACAGGAACUGACACUGGACACUGGAUCAAUAUGUUAGUACCAAAAAUAGUAUAA